UACAUGUGGGGCAAGCGUUGUUCGGAAUUACUGGGCAUAAAGGGUGCGUAGGCGGCGCGGUAAGUCGGGUGUGAAAUCUCGGGGCUUAACUCCGAAACUGCAUUCGAUACUGCCGUGCUUGAGGACUGGAGAGGAGACUGGAAUUUACGGUGUAGCGGUGAAAUGCGUAGAUAUCGUAAGGAAGACCAGUGGCGAAGGCGGGUCUCUGGACAGUUCCUGACGCUGAGGCACGAAGGCCAGGGGAGCAAACGGG
rnacentral:rRNA from 1 species